rnacentral:lncRNA from 1 species
AUGAAAAGUUGAUGGAGAAUCCUGUGAUUCAUGGCAGUAAGGAUACAUUGGAGAAGAUAACAAGCAAGAAGGAAUGAGGCUCCUUCAUGUCCUGAAUCCUUCUCAGGAAGGGACCAUGUAAUAAUGUACAGAACAAGUUAAUUGAGGAAGCUAUGGAAGUACGGUGAUCAGAAAAUGUGCAAUGGUCUCUGAUGUACAGAGAUACUGUCUACAAGCACUAAUGUCUCAGCUGGUUUUCCUCCAUCAUCUUGUCUGCUAUUUAUUUUUGAUCCUAAUGGUUUAAUCAGUGCUACGUGGACUGAAUACUUCAUAUACCUGGAGUUCACGGAGGGCUACAGCAGCAGGUUGCAAGAGGCUCAUGAGUAAUUGGACAAAGCAGAGUCUUGCCAUACCAACAGGCAUGGAAAAGCCGGGAAAGAUUUCUGUAUAGAGAGAUGGAGGGACCACAGCUGCUUGAUUCGGAAAGCAAAUAAAAAAGGUAAAUGUAUGAAUAGAGUCAAUAUGGAGUGGAAGAUGCACAAAAUAAUAAAAAGAAAAUCAAGGUCUCCUACUUAUUGCUGAACAUAAUGCCAAAACAAGGCAAUUUGAAAUGGAAGUGGAAAGCAGCAUAUCCUGAGUGGUAUAUUAUUAAUUUAUGGUAUUGAUUGGCACAUCAAAAUGAAGGAUUUAGUAAAAAUAAAAGCAAGAAGAAGUCUGUGUAUGGAUAAUAAUAAGAUCUUAACCUGUUAGACAGCACUGGAUGACACAAGCCAAGGAAACAAAAGGCAGGGCCUUAAUUAAUUGGCAGUAGACUUCUUGUCCCUUCAUUUUGUCAGUAAUCUGAACAGGAGUUUCAGAUGGCCAGAUCAUUUCUCUGGUCAUGCGUUGCAAUGCUGUACAGACAAGGUUACACAUGAUUUUGCUAAAAUGCUCAGAAAGGCUUCUGUGUACCCACAUUUCCAGUUAAAAUACAUUUAGUGUGACUUCAAUUGCAUGUGCCAUGGACAGCUUGGUGUCAGCCUCAGCUGCUUUUCACAGCCUAAGAAGUAUUAAGGAAUGUGAAUUUGACAAGAAACAACUGAAGAGGAGUACACUCAUUCCUAAGGGCUUCAGCAGCAGUGCAGAUGGAGACUGCCAUGCCCUCGCUUUUUACCGAGUGGUUCAUUCACAGUACACCUGGGUUUGUAACCCAGCAAGCCCCAGAAAUUGUGUAAAUGCAUCUUCUGUGCCUGGCCUGAGUAUCUGGUGGGUUCCUUACUGUCCAGCAAACACCUACAGACUUGGCUGCUGUUUGGGAAAAGGGAAAGGAUCAAGGCAAUUCCUGGGACACUGCAGGGACUAAGCCCCAGAGAUGACAGUGGAUCCCUGCUCCCAAGCCUGUGGUUCAGAGAUUCAGUCCUCAAGUGAAGAAGUCCAAGAGGGCAGCUCUAAAGUGUUGGUAAGCAAAAAACAUGGACCAGUGAAUAAGAAGGCAAUAUCUGCUUUAGAAAUACAUAAAGACAGUUUUAUCUCUAUAAUGUAUUCAUCAUGAAGCAUUAAAAGUACUUUGGUCCCAUGUCUUGAGGAAGGUUAAAGUGUUAUGGUUACUGUCUGUCCUGCUUAGUGUUACUGCACACUCAGUAUAUCUUUUGGGCUUGUAAUCGUGGGAUGUUGCAGGGUAUUUCUUUAUAUUUAAAUAAUCUAAUUUUCAGAGUGUCAAUACGGCUGAAAUGGAAUCAAUGGUACCAAACUCCCUUUUACUAGCUAAGGAGCUGGUCCUGUGUGCUUAAAAAUAGCCUAAUGAGAGAAGGACCAGUCUACCUACUGAGAGGUUUCGUGACCUACUUCUGCAGCUCUCCUGCUCUUUCGGGAAAGCUCUGCUGGGCUUAUGGUUCUUCAUCUCCUUGGUCUCCCCCAAAUCACUCACAAAAGCAAAUUCCACCAGAGAGAGGGGGGGGAGGAGAGAGAGAGAGACAGCUGCUUCUGCAUAUAUUAAUAAUACACAGCUCUAUAAAUGAUUAAUAAAAGAUACCACUGACUUUGAAUUAUAGUGUAG